UUUUACAGACCUAGCUGAGACCGUACACUCCAGCUGAUCCACUCAAGUUGCGGAGCUCUUCACUCCGUCGUACAUCCAAGCAUUGCAUUUAUCCGGUGACCAGACCCAGGGUCAACUUUGCACAGUGACAAAGCCAUGGCCAGAAGGUGGAAUGGACGCAUGAUCGCUGACGUUCUUCACAAGACCGUCGUCUCUGGUCUCAUGGGACUCACUGUUGUGUGCAGUGGAAUGAUUGCUUAUCAGACAUACCAGUAUUUCGCCUACGUUCGGCCGGAGAGAGAGCGUUUAGCCAAGCUCAAGGAUAAGGAACUGCUGGAACACGACGCAGAAGAGCUAACCGCGUAGCGAUGAUCAGAGAUCAUCUGCAUCGUUGGACCGUUCGUAAUAUGACGAGUGUAGUGGCUACGAGAAAUCCAGUAGAACAUCGAUAGUGAAGUAAUGUAUUGGCCAAGUACUGAACAAGAGUCUACAGGCUGUGUAUAUUUGAUGUGUCGCACGCAGUUGAUAAAUUGCGUUGUCGAAUAUAGUGCUAAUUAUACGAGAAUAAAAUUUUCGAUACAAUAAAAACCUGAAAUCAGAA